UNAUUCGAUGAUACGCGAGGNACCUUACCAGGGCUUGAAAGUUAGUGAAGAAUGUGGAAACAUGUUCGUCAGCAAUGACACGAAACUAGGUGCUGCAUGGCUGUCGUCAGCUCGUGCCGUGAGGUGUUGGGUUAAGUCCCGCAACGAGCGCAACCCCCAUCUUUAGUUGCUAGCAGGUAAUGCUGAGGACUCUAAAGAAACUGCCUACGCAAGUAGUGAGGAAGGCGGGGACGACGUCAAGUCAUCACGGCCCUUACGUCCUGGGCCACACACGUGCUACAAUGGUCGGUACAGAGGGCAGCUACCGGGUGACCGGAUGCGAAUCUCUAAAGCCGAUCUCAGUUCGGAUUGGAGUCUGCAACUCGACUCUAUGAAGCUGGAAUCGCUAGUAAUCGCGCAUCAGCCAUGGCGCGGUGAAUACGUUCCCGGGCCUUGUACACACCGCCCGUCAAACAAUGGAAGCUGGGGGUGCCUGAAGUCGGUAACCGAAAGGAGCUGC
rnacentral:rRNA from 1 species